ACCAUUGUCCGGCUAAAGGAAAUACCAUAAACACAUUCAUCCUAUAAAUCACCAUCUCUUGCCUAUUUGCCUCCUCCCCAUGAAGAAGUCGACAACAUUUCCCACCGACAAUUAACCGAGCAACAAGUUCCUUCAAUGACAACAUUUUCAAAUCGAUCAGAAACACAGAACAUAGAAUCAAAGUGAUCUUCCGACGUGCUUUCUUCCCCACAGGCGGAUGACACGUAGUCUAAAUUGCAUACAUUUUGCACUCCAUGAAAGUUUGAGUGGUUAAACCCCACGAAUAGGCAAAAUUGUUGUUGGUUUCAUGGAUAUCUUACUGAUGCAAACUGGACAUAUUACUAUUUCUCAAGUACUACCAUACCAAUCAACUUUGCUAGGAUAUAUAAGGCUGUGAAAACAGGAGUCAGGAGAGAUGCCAUUUUUAUUGGUCAAUACCUUGGAAAGUGACACAAUGUAUCAAGAUUUUUUUUAUGUGAAGCAAUGACACAUCGAUUGGAGAUGGACUUCAAAAAAAAUCUGAUUAGAACAUUAUGCUUUAAGAAUAUAUCAUUUAUAGCAGCAAAUGCUUAAAGACUGAGGUGAUGUUUAAGGUAUAUUUGCAUUGAAGCUGGAAUCCAGAAAGAUAUUAGUAUAUGAUUUCAAAUCUCUAUGAAUCAUUUACAAUUUGCAGUUCUCAUACAAAUAUUAUAAUACCAUGAUAACAUAAUUUCAAAUACAUCAAUAUUAAUUUAAAAGUAAUAAAAACUUAGUCUCAUGAAAUUAUCAUCUUUAAAACAAAAGUAAUAAUCUCUGAUUAAUUCAUAUGAUGAUCCCUUAUCAGCUUAA